CAUUAGAAGGCUAUGCGUAGAUGCUGCGGGAGAGGGUGGACGUGAGUCCCCUUCCCCCAGUGCGCUACAAAAACCCAGACCGUGUACCUGACCAUGUUGCUUCCCCGGGCCCGCAGGGCGACCUGCCCGGCUCCGGCCCCUCAUGACACGAGGGGCCGGCCGGCCGUGGACCGGGAGAAGGGCCGGGAAUGCAUUUUCCCGGAAGAAACCGCCCAAACCAGCCUGCGGAUGAGAAGUCUGACGCUGGCCUUUGCGCCACCGGUUUUGUUUUAACAUACUUAAAACUUUCAACAACGGAUCUCUUGGUUCUCGCAUCGAUGAAGAACGCAGCGAAAUGCGAUAAGUAAUGUGAAUUGCAGAAUUCAGUGAAUCAUCGAAUCUUUGAACGCACAUUGCGCCCCAGGGCAUUCCUUGGGGCAUGCCUGCUCGAGCGUCACAUAACAACCCACUCACAAGCAUUUGUGGUGCUGGCGGAUGUGGCCACCCCCGGUUUUUUUGGGGGGGCCCACACCGCUGAAAUGGAUCGGGCGGACGGAACCCCUUCUCGCCAACUGGCUUAGUAAAAUCGACGUGAAGUCAACCAGCCAGGAGUAAGGGUGGCGCCCUGCCCUCAGUAAAAGGACCCCUCCAUCCACUGGGAUGAGAAAACUUGGGUUGACCUCGGAUCAGGUAGGGAUACCCGCUGAACUUAAGCAUAUCAAUA
rnacentral:rRNA from 1 species